GUCCCGGGACACCAUCGACGUUGUGCCGGUGGCCGUGGGCCGCCGCGACGGCAUGGCGCGGUGGCGGUGGCGGCGGUGGAUGUUCAUGUGCCCGCCGAGCGCCUGGGCCGUGGUGAAGCCGCGCUUGCAGAACACGCACCCGUAGUACGGCCUGGCAGCGGUCGGCGCCGC
rnacentral:sRNA from 1 species